ensembl:lncRNA
AGCAAGUGUAGCAGGAUGACUGCUUUUCCAGUGGCUCCGCCCACUCGCAGUAUUGUGCCCCUUUAAUUUAUUAUAUAAGGAGGGACCUGUAGAUCUGCUCGCUCUCUGACAGCUGAUACGCACCUCCCCCUUCCGGGUUUACCUGGCUGCAGGUUCGGCAGACGCUCGGCACUCUCUGCAGGGUUGUGCAAAUUGUUCCACCGUGCAGGUCGGACUGCGUGUUUGCUCGUUUUGUCCCGGAGCUAUGCCACGCUGAGGUCCCGACUGCCCUGACCCGUUUUGGACUGCUGCUGCUUUGUGUGGGGAUAAAACCCACACUUUUUACGGACCUUGCCUGCUGCUGCGUUCGGGUGCUGAGGGCCUCACUGGUGA